UGUGCGAGGGAGGCCGGGAGGGGUCCCUGGGCGGGGAGUUGCUGCGCAUCUGUUGUGUGUGUGCGUCUGUCUGUCUGUUCAGGCUGCGUCGGUCUGUCUGUCUGGGUCUGUUUCAGGCUGUGUCUGUCUGUCUGUCUGGGUCUGUUUCAGGCUGUGUCUGUCUGUCUGUCCGGGUCUGUUUCAGGCUGUGUCUGGGUCUGUUUCAGGCUGUCUGUCUGUCUGUCUGGGUCUGUUUCAGGCUGUGUCUGUCUGUCUGUUUGUCUGGGUCUGUUUCAGGCUGUGUCUGUCUGUCCGGGUCUGUUUCAGGCUGUAUGUGUGUCUGCUCUUUGCUUCUGCUCCUGGCUCUGUGUGUAUUUCCCGGGUCCUGUGGCCCUCUU
rnacentral:lncRNA from 1 species